rnacentral:rRNA from 1 species
GAAAGUAAGCAAGGGCGUACGGGGGAUGCCUAGGCUCUUGGAGGCGAAGAAGGACGUGUUAAGCUGCGAAAAGCUGCGGGGAUUUGCAAAAAAGACUUGAUCCGCAGAUGUCCGAAUGGGGCAACCCGGCAGGUCGGAGACCUGUCACACCGGCAACGGUGAGCAAACCCUAUGAACUGAAACAUCUUAGUAAUAGGAGGAGGAGAAAGAAACAUCGAUUUCCCGAGUAGUGGCGAGCGAAAAGGAAAGAGCCCAAACCGGCAUUGUUACGGCAAUGCCGGGGUUAUAGGACUGCGAUAUCUUAAUACCAACGAACGAGAAAUGACUGGAAAGUCGUACCGUAGAGGGUGAAAGUCCCGUAUUGGUAAGUUCGGUAAGCGGUAGCAGUAUCCUGAGUAUGGCGGGACACGAGGAAUCCUGUCAGAAUUUGCGGGGACCACCCCGUAAGGCUAAAUACUCCCAAGAGACCGAUAGUGGACCAGUACCGUGAGGGAAAGGUGAAAAGUACCCCGAACAGGGGAGUGAAAAAGAACCUGAAACCGUACGCUUACAACCUGUCGGAGCCGCUUCGUGCGGUGACGGCGUGCCUUUUGGAUAAUGAACCUACGAGUUACUAAUCACUAGCGAGGUUAAGGACUAUAAAGUCCGGAGCCGAAGCGAAAGCGAGUCUGAAUAGGGCGUAUAGUUAGUGGUUGUAGACGCGAAACCUUGCGAUCUACCCAUGAGCAGGAUGAAGGUUGGGUAAAACCAACUGGAGGUCCGCACCGGUAAACGUUGAAAAGUUUUCGGAUGACUUGUGGGUAGGGGUGAAAGGCUAAUCAAGCUGGGAAAUAGCUCGUACUCCCCGAAAUGCUUUUAGGAGCAGCGUUGUAAUAGUCUACUGGAGGUAGAGCUACUGAUUGGAUGCGGGGGCUUCACCGCCUACCAAAUCCUGACAAACUCCGAAUGCCAGUAGAAUGAUUUGCAGCAGUGAGCCGCUGGGUGCUAAUGUCCGGCGACUAAAGAGGAACAACUCAGACCAUCAGCUAAGGCCCCCAAACAUACACUAAGUUGAACUAACGAUGUGCGACUGCAGCGACAGCUAGGAUGUUAGCUUGGAAGCAGCUAUUCAUUUAAAGAGUGCGUAACAGCUCACUAGUCGAGCGGUUGUGCGUGGAUAAUAACCGGGCAUCAAGUGUAUUGCCGAAGCUAUGGACUCUACGGAGUGGUAGGGGAGCAUUCCAUCGACGUCGAAGCCGAUUCGUGAGGAUCGGUGGAGUUUAUGGAAAAGCAAAUGUAGGUAUAAGUAACGAUAAGGCGGGAGAGUAACCCGCCCACCGCAAGACCAAGGUUUCCUGAUCAACGUUAAUCGGAUCAGGGUCAGUCGGGGCCUAAGGGUAAGCCGCAUGGUGAUCUCGAUGGACAAUCGGUUAAUAUUCCGAUACUGAUAUGAACUGCGACGGAGGGACGGAGAAGCGUAAGCUACGCCAACAGACGGAAUUGUUGGUUAAAGGGUGUAGGUAUAUGAUUCGGUUAAUAGCUGAUUCAUGCUGAAACCUGACAGUACCGAGCGGCUACGGCCAAUCGGAUAGUUAGCCCAAGCAAGCUUCCGAGAAAAACUUCUAAGCUUCAGGUUCAUAUCACCCGUACCGUAAACCGACACAGGUGGUCGAGGAGAGUAUCCUCAGGUGCUUGAGUGAAUCACGGAUAAGGAACUAGGCAAAUUGACCCCGUAACUUCGGGAAAAGGGGUCCCUACGCAAGUAGGGCGCAGCGAAGAGGUCCAGGCAACUGUUUAACAAAAACAUAUGGCUCUGCUAAUUCGAGAGAAGAAGUAUAGGGCCUGACACCUGCCCGGUGCUGGAAGGUUAAGAGGGGAUGUCAGCGCAAGCGAAGCAUUGAAUCGAAGCCCCAGUAAACGGCGGCCGUAACUAUAACGGUCCUAAGGUAGCGAAAUUCCUUGUCGGGU